rnacentral:tRNA from 1 species
GCCGCUAUCGUCUAACGGUUAGGACUUCAGAUUCUCAAUCUGGCAAUCGGGGUUCGAUUCCCCGUAGCGGUACCA